AGAGAGAGACAUGCGCGCAUAUCAAUAAGCGGAGGAAAAGAAACUAACAAGGAUUCCCCUAGUAACGGCGAGUGAAGCGGGAAGAGCUCAAAUUUGAAAUCUUAAAGGGUUUCCCUUUACGAAUUGUAGUUUAAAGAAGUGUUUUCUGUUGAGGUUUUGGUAUAAAGUUCUUUGGAAUAGGACAUCAUAGAGGGUGAGAAUCCCGUAUUUGACCUUUACUUUCAACUUUGUGAUACACUUUCAAAGAGUCGGAUUGUUUGGGAAUGCAGUCCAAAAUGGGUGGUAAAUUUCAUCUAAAGCUAAAUAUUGGCGAGAGACCGAUAGCGAACAAGUACCGUGAGGGAAAGAUGAAAAGAACUUUGAAAAGAGAGUUAAACAGUACGUGAAAUUGUCAAAAGGGAAGCGUUUGACACCAGUGUUGUUUUUCUGAAAAUCAAUUAAAGAACUGUUUAUGCUAAGUUGUUUAGACUUUAUCAGCUAUCUGUUUAGUUUUGAGCUUUUCUUUAAUGCACUUUUCAGUUAACAAGUCAACAUCAAUUUCUUUUGCUGUAAAAAAGCUUGAGGAAGGUGGCUUGAGAUUCGUCUUAAGUGUUUAUAGCCUCUUGCCUAUGCAGUCGGAGAGAUUGAGGUCUGCAGCGUAGAUCCUUCGGGGCUAAAUGCAUUUGUGCUAAGUUAUAGCAUUUUAUAGACAACUUGUUGACUAUGAUUUGUCUUGUAGCUUACUCGCUUAUGUUAUUUUACCUACGCUUAGGAUGUUGAGCGCAUGUCUCUCUCU
rnacentral:rRNA from 1 species